rnacentral:rRNA from 1 species
CAUAACCAAGAAAAGCCUCUAGGGUUGAAGCAAACAACCGUACUAAAACUGACACAGGUAGGCGAGGCGAGUAGCCUAAGGCGCGCGGGAGAACGGUGGUUAAGGAACUCUGCAAAUUUUCCCCGUAACUUCGGGAUAAGGGGCGCCCUGCGAUGUGUUAAAGCAUUGCGGGGCCGCAGGAAUUGGCUCUAGCGACUGUUUAUCAAAAACACA